GACGAACGCUGGCGGCGUGCUUAACACAUGCAAGUCGAACGCUGAAGCUCAGCUUUUGUUGGGUGGAUGAGUGGCGAAAGGGUGAGUAACACGUGAGUAACCUGCCUCCUUCUUUGGGAUAACGCCCGGAAACGGGUGCUAAUACUGGAUAUUCACUGGUCUUCGCGUGGGGGUUGGUGGAAAGGGUUUUUCUGGUGUGGGAUGGGCUCGCGGCCUAUCGGCUUGUUGGUGGGGUGAUGGCCUACCAAGGCUUUGACGGGUAGCCGGCCUGAGAGGGUGACCGGUCACAUUGGGACUGCGAUAAGGCCCAGACUCCUACGGGAGGCAGCAGUGGGGAAUAUUGCGCAAUGGGCGCAAGCCUGAUGCAGCGACGCCGAGUGAGGGAUGGAGGCCUUAGGGUUGUGAACCUCUUUCGCUAAUGGUCAAGCCGCAACAAUGGUUGUGGUGAGGGUAGUGGGUAAAGAAGCGCCGGCUAACUACGUG
rnacentral:rRNA from 1 species